AUCAUCAUCAUCUUUUUCGAUAUUACUGGAUGUGGCCUCUCUAUUUACAACUGAUUGGUUUGACAAUUGCUUAGCAAAAGCUUUUGUGGCUUAUCUUGCUCAGUCGAGAGCUACGGAUAUUGUCAAUAACAAGCAUUUGCAGUUCUUAAGAAAUUCCUUAGUUGACUUAUGCUCCCUAGAUGUUCAAAAAUCAUUGUCUAAAGCCACCGUGUCUGUCCGUCAGCUUGCAAAAGUAUUACAGUGGGGUUUGCGUACAA
rnacentral:misc_RNA from 1 species